GGACGAGCCUCUGGAGAGACUCUUUUAAAAAAGAGCACCGAAGGAGCAAGGUCAAAUUUUUUGACUGAAACUCUCAGGUAAAAGGACAGAGGAUAAGGU
rfam:Clostridium perfringens str. 13 DNA, complete genome.